ensembl:lncRNA
UGCCGCCCUCCAGCUCCCUUCUCCACAGAGGGCUGCCCGGCCCGGGGCGGCGGUGCUGGGAAGAGGCCGGAGGCAGGUCUUCCCUGCAGCUGUUUGAAGCGGGAAGGGUUCGCUGUCGAGAAAGGGCGCUUGGGGAACCGUUUCAGCAGUUCUCCAAGCAGACGCCAGGGUUUGGGGACCUCGCUUCUGCAAGGCGGCGGGAGGAACGCCGGAUUACUUUCCUCGGUCCGUUACGGGCUGCGGAGACCACAAGGGCGGCACUCCGCUUACUCAGCUGACCUACUUUCUCAGCUGCGGCUAACAGGCAAAACGGACUUCUGGAAUGAUUCCGCUCCAGCCUUCAAGCUGAUUAUACUGGGAAGAAUUGAUAAAUGGCCAGAUGCCCACAUCAUAAAAGAACCUGCAUCUUCUGAAUUUGGACGUUUAUGUCAAUUUUAUAGUUCUGAUCUUCCACAUGUGAGGGAGGAAGUACCCUACAGAUCACUUUGCAAUAAACAUUUGAAAAAUAGGAUUUUUAAAGACAACGGUAUCAUGCUUUUACAUACCUUUUAAGGCUGUUAAAGAGGUCAGUUCUCCAGUUUUUCUGGAUGUUUAGAUAUUUUCCAUCUAUGUGGGAUGAAAUCAUCCUCACACCUCCUCUUUCAGCUAUGCUGCACUACUAUAUCCAAACUGCUUUGUAAAGUCUGUCAUAUCAUGCAGCAACUGACAGAAUUUCUUUACAUUGUCCCUUGCCUAUAAGCACUUUUAAUACAGUGUGUAUGAAUAUAUUAUUUCUAUCUCCUAAUCUGUAUUCCUCUGCACCACGCACAGGAUGUUCCAAGUAAACCACAUGAAAACAAGAUUAAGCAUGCAAUCUACACACAUAGCAGACAUGCUUAGUAGGAAAGCCUGCAGGACUGCUUUCAGAUUAAUAUGCAAAGAGAAAACAGGGUCUGUACCUUUCCUUUGUCUCUUAUAUAGACACAAAGUUUGAAAAGCCAGGAUUUCAGCUUCUGUUAAGCAUUCAAAAUUCGGGGCCUACCUAGUCUACAAGACCAACUCGAGUGAAACAUUUUCAUUAAAGCCAAAAAGCCUGAACUACUGAAAAGAAAGGACUUUUUAGCUUCUACAUGGAAAUUUAGCAUCUGUUUAAUUUCAAUAACCAAGGUUUAGAGAAAGCUUUUCAAAGAUUCCAGAUUCUAUUCCCUUUUCCCUAAGGCAUCCAAAUCAGUUUUUUAGUUAAAAAAACAAAACAAAAAAAAACCACUCGACAUCUCAAUUUUUCCUCAUUCAUAUUAAGCAGGAGAAACAACGUCAAAACUUUUUUUCUUCCUCACUACAGUAUUUUAAAGUUAUCUUUCAGAAGGAAGUGUUAAGUUUUUUCAUGGUUUGCACGUCUUCCAUGAUUUAAGAUGAAAGUACCCAGUUUGCAAGCAGAGCCAUCACAUACUUGACUAUUUCUGUUACGGUCCCACAACUGGUGGCACAAAAGCACCACUACCACACUACUUUACUUGCUACUACUCACAAUUCAACCAGGUUCGUUAAUUUCUUAAAGGAAAGGCAAAAGUUCCACAUGGCCAGUAUUUUAACACUCCCCUAUUCUAUCCUGCAGAAUGAGCAGCCACCUUAAAGUCCUUCAAGAAAGUUUCAUCAACUUUUGGGAGGCUUGAAAAUUACCAUUUUUUCCAAGAAUGAUGGCCUUUUUUGGAAAACAACAGUAAAUUCAACAUCUCUUAGACAAGUUUUAAAGAACUACCUUCAUGAAAACUGGGGGGGAGGGGCCAGACACAACACACCACAAGGAAACCAUUAAAACUUUUUCUCCCCAGUUACUGAGAUAUUUAACUCCAGUUUUUUCAAACUGCAGUAACUGAGUUCCACCCAAAAGCAGAGAUCUGCCAACACACUGCAGAAUCCGUCUCUUAAACAAAAUUACAAAGUGCAAUUAAAAGCGUAAAUUUUUCCCUUUACAGCCCAUCCUGCUGUGGGAAACUUGUGGUUAGGAGGACAUAAAAUUCACACUAGCAAAACACAUCUUCAGGAAAUACUAUUACUACAGCACAUGUAAUGCACUCAAUUUGGCAGAUGAUACAAGAAAUGUAUUUGAAAUCAACUAUAUGUAUGUUAAUACAUUUUCAAUGCAACAAGGAAGAGAAACUGAUUUCUGAAGACUUAACAUUUACCGAAACGUUUAAGACCUUAUAUACAAAUGUAACAAAUGAACAAAGACGGAAGGCCAGAAUUUAAAAAAAAAAAAAACAAAAAAACCAAAAACUCAUCUUCUCACCCCAGAAAUGGGGAACACUGCAACAGGAAGUGGGGGGAAUUUUUCUGGAAACUCGGAAACUACAACAUAACUACAACAGAAGCAACUUUUUCCAUAUAAAAAGGCUAUUACAUGAAAGGAGAGUAAGAGCUUUGGGCAAGUUUUCUUCUGGUUGAUGAUCAGACUCUGGCUUGAUUUUGUUUAUUUUUGUUACUGUUGUACUGCUUAGAGAAAGACAAAAUAAAUCAUUUAGAAAUUUCUAAAGAAUAAUGGUU